rnacentral:rRNA from 1 species
GAUGAACGCUGGCGGCGUGCUUAACACAUGCAAGUCGAACGAGGUAGCAAUACCUAGUGGCGGACGGGUGAGUAACGCGUAGGUAAACUGCCCAUUGGUGGGGGAUACCCAGUCGAAAGAUUGGUUAAUACCGCAUACGCUGGCCUCUUGUAAUAGGGGGUCAGGAAAGAUUUAUUGCCGAUGGAUGUGCCUGCGUCUGAUUAGCUAGUUGGUGAGGUAACGGCUCACCAAGGCGACGAUCAGUAGCUGGUCUGAGAGGACGAUCAGCCACACUGGAACUGAGACACGGUCCAGACUCCUACGGGAGGCAG